rnacentral:rRNA from 1 species
UACGGGGGGAACAAGCGUUGUUCGGAUUUACUGGGCGUAAAGGGCGCGUAGGCGGCCACCGCAAGUCGACUGUGAAAUCUCCGGGCUUAACCCGGAAAGGUCAGCCGAUACUGCAGGGCUAGAGUGCAGAAGGGGCAACUGGAAUUCUCGGUGUAGCGGUGAAAUGCGUAGAUAUCGAGAGGAACACCUGCGGCGAAGGCGGGUUGCUGGGCUGACACUGACGCUGAAGUGCGAAAGCUAGGGGAGCGAACGGG